rnacentral:rRNA from 1 species
UACGUAGGGGGCAAGCGUUGUCCGGAAUUAUUGGGCGUAAAGAGCGUGUAGGCGGUCCGGUAAGUCAGCUGUGAAAGUCAAGGGCUCAACCCUUGAAAGCCGGUUGAUACUGUCGGGCUAGAGUCCGGAAGAGGCGAGUGGAAUUCCCGGUGUAGCGGUGAAAUGCGCAGAUAUCGGGAGGAACACCAAUGGCGAAGGCGGGUCUCUGGGCCGAUACUGACGCUGAGGAGCGAAAGCGUGGGGAGCGAACAGG